rnacentral:rRNA from 1 species
UACGGAGGUCGCAAGCGGUGUUCGGAAUCACUGGGCGUAAAGCGCGUGUAGGCGGCCGGGCAAGUCGGAUGUGAAAUCCCGAGGCUCAACCUCGGAACUGCACUCGAAACUGCUCGGCUCGAGUCCCGGAGAGGAUGGCGGAAUUCCCGGUGUAGGGGUGAAAUCCGUAGAUAUCGGGAGGAACACCAGUGGCGAAGGCGGCCAUCUGGACGGUGACUGACGCUGAGACGCGAAAGCGUGGGGAGCAAACAGG